GCACGGCAACCUUCAAAGAACAAAUUCCGUAGAACCGCAGCUGGUCUCUAGAUCCAGCAAAUAUUUGCGGCAUCGCCACUUUCCAUCGCUAGUUCUCCCUGCCGCUUUCCUUCUCUUGUUCUCCCCUGACCUCAGGGAGAGGCGGGUAAUUGAUCUGUCUCAGGGAGAGGCAGAUAAUUCAUACACUAUGUUUCUUCGAUAUCCUCAUCCCUAACAUCCUCAAUUUCUUCUCGGUAGUACAAAGCAUUUAGCUCUUGCUGCAACUGAA
rnacentral:lncRNA from 1 species